rnacentral:rRNA from 1 species
GACGAACGCUGGCGGCGUGCUUAACACAUGCAAGUCGAACGGAAGGGCCCUGCUUUUGUGGGGUGCUCGAGUGGCGAACGGGUGAGUAACACGUGAGUAACCUGCCCUUGACUUUGGGAUAACUUCAGGAAACUGGGGCUAAUACCGGAUAGGAGCUCCUGCUGCAUGGUGGGGGUUGGAAAGUUUCGGCGGUUGGGGAUGGACUCGCGGCUUAUCAGCUUGUUGGUGGGGUAGUGGCUUACCAAGGCUUUGACGGGUAGCCGGCCUGAGAGGGUGACCGGCCACAUUGGGACUGAGAUACGGCCCAGACUCCUACGGGAGGCAGCAGUGGGGAAUAUUGCACAAUGGGCGGAAGCCUGAUGCAGCAACGCCGCGUGCGGGAUGACGGCCUCGGGUUGUAAACCGCUUUCGCCUGUGACGAAGCGUGAGUGACGGUAAUGGGUAAAGAAGCACCGGCUAACUACGUG